GGCUUCGUAGCUCAGCUGGUAGAGCGCUUGCCGCGCAGAGGCAUAGUGUUUCUGUCGCUAGUUCGAAUCCAGCCGAAGCCC
rnacentral:tRNA from 1 species